UGGGUAAAUUACUGGAAAACGAGUACCUGCCAUUCACCAGCAGGUAACAAGUACUAUAAGAGUGGGCAACUCUGGGCAUGUGGCAGCAGCCAGUGUGGUAAAUCACGGGGACCCAGGCAACCAGGGCAAAGCAGGCAAGAUGGCCUCAGGGAAACCCGAGAAGUGGACACAGAAGGCAGCUGUGCCCAGAAGAGGUAGCAACAGGGUUCUCUUUGGCUUUCCUGCCCACCCCCUAAAAGAGAAGUUUUGUUUGUUACCUCUUACCGACAUUUAUUUUGACAAUUUUUUUCUGAGAGACCAUCCUCAUCCUCUCCCAUGAUGUCCACGGCAGAAAAUAUCAACGCGACAAGAAUGGCAAAGCAGCAUACCA